UACGGAGGAUGCAAGCGUUAUCCGGAAUGAUUGGGCGUAAAGAGUGCGUAGGUGGUUAUUCAAGUCGAUUGUUAAAGAGCGGGGCUUAACCCCGUAGAAGCAGUGGAAACUGAAUAACUAGAGAGAGGUAGGGGUAGAGGGAAUUCCCGGUGUAGCGGUGAAAUGCGUAGAGAUCGGGAAGAACACCAGUGGCGAAAGCGCUCUACUGGGCCUCAUCUGACACUGAGGGACGAAAGCUAGGGGAGCGAAAGGG
rnacentral:rRNA from 1 species